GCUUUUUUCGCGGCGGAGCUCGACCGCCCACACAAGUAAUCGUCACCUUCAUCGACGACAACCGUGCUCAGUUCGGGGUCGAGCCCAUCAUCCGCGUCCU
rnacentral:ncRNA from 1 species